AUUGAACGCUGGCGGAAUGCUUUACACAUGCAAGUCGAGCGGCAGCACGGACUUCGGUCUGGUGGCGAGUGGCGAACGGGUGAGUAAUGUAUCGGAACGUGCCCAGUCGUGGGGGAUAACGUAGUGAAAAUUACGCUAAUACCGCAUACGAUCUAUGGAUGAAAGCGGGGGAUCGCAAGACCUCGCGCGAUUGGAGCGGCCGAUAUCAGAUUAGGUAGUCGGUGGGGUAAAGGCCACCAAGCCAACGAUCUGUAGCUGGUCUGAGAGGACGACCAGCCACACUGGAACUGAGACACGGUCCAGACUCCUACGGGAGGCAGCAGUGGGGAAUUUUGGACAAUGGGCGAAAGCCUGAUCCAGCCAUUCCGCGUGCAGGAUGAAGGCCCUCGGGUUGUAAACUGCUUUUGUACAGAACGAAAAGGUUUCUACUAAUACUAGGAGCUCAUGACGGUACUGUAAGAAUAAGCACCGGCUAACUACGUGCCAGCCGCCGCCGUAA
rnacentral:rRNA from 1 species